rnacentral:tRNA from 1 species
GCCCGGGUGGUGGAAUUGGCAGACACGCCAGGUUCAGGGUCUGGUGGUAGCAAUACUGUGCUGGUUCGAGCCCAGUCCCGGGCA